rnacentral:rRNA from 1 species
CAGUAGCCGCGGUAAAACAGAGGGUGCGAGCGUUAAUCGGAUUUACUGGGCGUAAAGCGUGCGUAGGCGGCUUCUUAAGUCGGAUGUGAAAUCCCUGAGCUUAACUUAGGAAUUGCAUUCGAUACUGGGAAGCUAGAGUAUGGGAGAGGAUGGUAGAAUUCCAGGUGUAGCGGUGAAAUGCGUAGAGAUCUGGAGGAAUACCGAUGGCGAAGGCAGCCAUCUGGCCUAAUACUGACGCUGAGGUACGAAAGCAUGGGGAGCAAACAGGAUUAGAUACCCCUGUAGUCCAUGUCUCUUAUAC